rnacentral:rRNA from 1 species
AGAGUUUGAUCAUGGCUCAGGAUGAACGCUAGCGGCAGGCUUAACACAUGCAAGUCGAGGGGUAGAAGUCUUCGGACUUUGAGACCGGCGCACGGGUGCGUAACGCGUAUGCAAUCUGCCUUGUACAGAGGGACAGCCCAGAGAAAUUUGGAUUAAUACCUCAUAGUAUACUGAUGUGGCAUCACAUUACUAUUAAAGAUUUAUCGGUACAAGAUGAGCAUGCGUCCCAUUAGCUAGUUGGUAUGGUAACGGCAUACCAAGGCAAUGAUGGGUAGGGGUCCUGAGAGGGAGAUCCCCCACACUGGUACUGAGACACGGACCAGACUCCUACGGGAGGCAGCAGUGAGGAAUAUUGGACAAUGGGCGCAAGCCUGAUCCAGCCAUGCCGCGUGCAGGAUGACGGUCCUAUGGAUUGUAAACUGCUUUUGUACGGGAAGAAACACCUCUACGUGUAGAGGCUUGACGGUACCGUAAGAAUAAGGAUCGGCUAACUCCGUGCCAGCCGCCGCGGUAAUAC